rnacentral:rRNA from 1 species
UACGUAGGGUGCGAGCGUUGUCCGGAAUUAUUGGGCGUAAAGAGCUCGUAGGCGGUUUGUCACGUCUGCUGUGAAAUCCCGAGGCUCAACCUCGGGCCUGCAGUGGGUACGGGCAGACUGGAGUGCGGUAGGGGAGAAUGGAAUUCCUGGUGUAGCGGUGGAAUGCGCAGAUGUCAGGAGGAACACCGAUGGCGAAGGCAGUUCUCUGGGCCGUAACUGACGCUGAGGAGCGAAAGCGUGGGGAGCGAACAGG